AUUGAACGCUGGCGGCAGGCCUAACACAUGCCAGUCGAACGGUAACAGGAAGAAGCUUGCUUCUUUGCUGACGAGUGGCGGACGGGUGAGUAAUGUCUGGGAAACUGCCUGAUGGAGGGGGAUAACUACUGGAAACGGUAGCUAAUACCGCAUAACGUCGCAAGACCAAAGAGGGGGACCUUCGGGCCUCUUGCCAUCGGAUGUGCCCAGAUGGGAUUAGCUAGUAGGUGGGGUAACGGCUCACCUAGGCGACGAUCCCUAGCUGGUCUGAGAGGAUGACCAGCCACACUGGAACUGAGACACGGUCCAGGCUCCUACGGGAGGCAGCAGUGGGGAAUAUUGCACAAUGGGCGCAAGCCUGAUGCAGCCAUGCCGCGUGUAUGAAGAAGGCCUUCGGGUUGUAAAGUACUUUCAGCGGGGAGGAAGGGAGUAAAGUUAAUACCUUUACUCAUUGACGUUACCCGCAGAAGAAGCACCGGCUAACUCUGUG
rnacentral:rRNA from 1 species